rnacentral:misc_RNA from 1 species
CAUCGGCAACAUUUUUAUAACCAACUAAACCAAAAAAACUCACUUACAAAUUAAUAAAAUUACAUUAAAAUAAGUAAAUGUAUGACUCAUGGCCAGUCCCAAANCCAAAUUGUAAUGGCAGCGACGCCGCUACACAAGGCGAUGGAAUAUGACUCCUUCCCUUCUCGCGGAGGAGCUCCACCAAGAAUAUGGUGGACGACCUCGACGCGUCAGGGAAUUUCUAUCUGACGUUUACUUUUG